rnacentral:rRNA from 1 species
UACGAAGGGGGCUAGCGUUGUUCGGAAUUACUGGGCGUAAAGCGCACGUAGGCGGCCUUGUAAGUUGGGGGUGAAAUCCCGGGGCUCAACCUCGGAAUUGCCUUCAAGACUGCUUGGCUCGAGUUCGGGAGAGGUGAGUGGAAUUCCCAGUGUAGAGGUGAAAUUCGUAGAGAUUGGGAAGAACACCAGUGGCGAAGGCGGCUCACGGGCCCGUAACUGACGAUGAGGUGCGAAAGCGUGGAGAGCAAACAGG